rnacentral:lncRNA from 1 species
GCACCCCGCCAGCCGGGGAUUCAUCCCACAGCCGGUUUUCCUUGUGGCAGCUCAUAAAAUGCUGCAUGAUAUUUCAUUCACAUCAGAAUGUGCGAGUGUGAGAAAAUACUGAAACGAGGACAAGAAAAUCAGGAACGAGGCGCUUGUCCCCGGAUGAGUCCCCCGCGGAUCCCGGUGAGCAGAGCCUUUGCUGGGAGAACUGUGGGGACUGGUGACCCACAGGUGAGCCGCACGGAGCGCGCAGAAUCUUAAAGAUCCUUGGAGGUGGCUUGAAAGCCAAUUUUGGGAGCCAGAACUGGAGAGAGGACUG